rnacentral:rRNA from 1 species
AGCUGAUCACUGGGUGUAAAGCGUGCGCAGGCGGCUUUGUAAGACAGAGGUGAAAUCCCCGGGCUCAACCUGGGAACUGCCUUUGUGACUGCAAGGCUGGAGUGCGGCAGAGGGGGAUGGAAUUCCGCGUGUAGCAGUGAAAUGCGUAGGUAUGCGGAGGAACACCGAUGGCGAAGGCAAUCCCCUGGGCCUGCACUGACGCUCAUGCACGAAAGCGUGGGGAGCAAACA